rnacentral:rRNA from 1 species
AACGAACGCUGGCGGCAGGCCUAACACAUGCAAGUCGAGCGAGAUCUUCGGGUCUAGCGGCGGACGGGUGAGUAACGCGUGGGAAUAUGCCUCUUGGUACGGAAUAGCCUCGGGAAACUGGGAGUAAUACCGUAUGUGCCCUUUGGGGGAAAGAUUUAUCGCCAAGAGAUUAGCCCGCGUUGGAUUAGGUAGUUGGUGGGGUAAUGGCCUACCAAGCCGACGAUCCAUAGCUGGUUUGAGAGGAUGAUCAGCCACACUGGGACUGAGACACGGCCCAGACUCCUACGGGAGGCAGCAGUGGGGAAUCUUAGACAAUGGGGGCAACCCUGAUCUAGCCAUGCCGCGUGAGUGAUGAAGGCCUUAGGGUUGUAAAGCUCUUUCAGCUGGGAAGAUAAUGACGGUACCAGCAGAAGAAGCCCCGGCUAACUCCGUGCCAGCAGCCGCGGUAAUACGGAGGGGGCUAGCGUUGUUCGGAAUUACUGGGCGUAAAGCGCACGUAGGCGGACCAGAAAGUUGGGGGUGAAAUCCCGGGGCUCAACCCCGGAACUGCCUUCAAAACUAUUGGUCUGGAGUUCGAGAGAGGUGAGUGGAAUUCCGAGUGUAGAGGUGAAAUUCGUAGAUAUUCGGAGGAACACCAGUGGCGAAGGCGGCUCACUGGCUCGAUACUGACGCUGAGGUGCGAAAGCGUGGGGAGCAAACAGG